AGCCCCGUAAGACAGUGGUCAAGUCUUGAGGCCUUUGGAGCCUUAAACCUCGGUUCGAAUCCGAGCGGGGCUA
rnacentral:tRNA from 1 species